GAGAGUUUUGAACUCAAGUGGCGGACGGGUGAGUAACACGUAAGAAUUUGCCUUUAGGAGGGGGACAACAACUAGAAAUGGUUGCUAAUACCCCAUAUGCUUUCGAGUAAAAUGGAUUUUUCCGCCUAGAGAGAAGCUUGCGGCUGAUUAGCUUGUUGGUGAGGUAAUGGCUCACCAAGGCGACGAUCAGUAUCUGGUUUGAGAGGACGAUCAGACACACUGGAACUGAGACACGGUCCAGACUCCUACGGGAGGCAGCAGUGGGGAAUUUUCCGCAAUGGGCGAAAGCCUGACGGAGCAAUACCGCGUGAGGGAUGACGGCCUAUGGGUUGUAAACCUCUUUUUUCAGGGAGGAAUCAAUGACGUGUACCUGAAGAAUAAGCAUCGCCUAACUCCGUGCCAGCAGCCGCGGUAAGACGGAGGAUGCAAGUGUUAUCCGGAAUCACUGGGCGUAAAGCGUCUGUAGGUGGUCCAAUAAGUCAACUGUUAAAUCUUGAGGCUCAACCUCAAAACCGCAGUCGAAACUAUUAGACUAGAGUAUAGUAGGGGUAAAGGGAAUUUCCAGUGGAGCGGUGAAAUGCGUAGAGAUUGGAAAGAACACCGAUGGCGAAGGCACUUUACUGGGCUAUUACUAACACUCAGAGACGAAAGCUAGGGUAGCAAAUGGGAUUAGAUACCCCAGUAGUCCUAGCCGUAAACAAUGGAUACUAGAUGUUGAACAGAUCGACCUGUGCAGUAUCAAAGCUAACGCGUUAAGUAUCCCGCCUGGGAAGUAUGCUCGCAAGAGUGAAACUCAAAGGAAUUGACGGGGGCCCGCACAAGCGGUGGAGCAUGUGGUUUAAUUCGAUGCAACGCGAAGAACCUUACCAGGGUUUGACAUGAUACGAAUUUCUUUGAAAGAA
rnacentral:rRNA from 1 species